GCCACCUGCGAUGACUAGCCAUGCGAGUCAUUGUAGUAAUACAAGGCAGACGGCUCAGUAACACGUGGCUAACCUACCCUCGAGACAGGGACAACCCCGGGAAACUGGGGCUAAUCCCAGAUAGAUGAGGACCCCUGGAAUGGGUUUUCGUCCGAAAGGCACCGCGGUUAUGCUCUGCAGUGUCGCUCAAGGAUGGGGCCGCGUCCGAUCAGGCUGUUGGUGAGGCAAUGGCUCACCAAACCUAUAACCGGUACGGGCCGUGGGAGCGGGAGCCCGGAGAUGGGAACUGAGACAAGGUCCCAGGCCCUACGGGGCGCAGCAGUUACGAAAACUUGUCAAUGCACGAAAGUGUGAACGGGCUACCCCGAGUGCCGUCCGCUGAGGAUGGCUUUUCUCUGCUGUAAGAAGGCGGAGGAAUAAGGCGAGGGCAAGUCUGGUGUCAGCCGCCGCGGUAAUACCAGCUCGCCGAGUGGUAGGGAUGAUUAUUGGGCCUGAAGCGUCCGUAGCCGGCCUUUCAAGUCUCUUGUUAAAUCCAACGAUUCAAUCGCUGGACUGCAGGAGAUACUGUUAGGCUAGGGGGCGGGAGAAGCCGACGGUAUUUUCGGGGUAGGGGUAAAAUCCUAUAAUCCCGGGAAGACCACCAGUGGCGUAGGCGGUCGGCUAGCACGCGCUCGACGGUGAGGGACGAAAGCUGGGGGAGCGAACCGGAUUAGAUACCCGGGUAGUCUCAGCUGUAAACGAUGCUGGCUAGGUGUUGAAGCGGCUACGAGCCGCUUCAGUGCCGCAGGAAAGCCAUUAAGCCAGCCGCCUGGGGAGUACGGCCGCAAGGCUGAAACUUAAAGGAAUUGGCGGGGGAGCACCACAAGGGGUGAAGCUUGCGGUUUAAUUGGAGUCAACGCCGGG
rnacentral:rRNA from 1 species